rnacentral:rRNA from 1 species
AGGGUUCGAUUCUGGCUCAGGAUGAACGCUAGCGAUAGGCCUAACACAUGCAAGUCGAGGGGCAGCACAUGAGUAGCAAUACGAUGGUGGCGACCGGCGCACGGGUGAGUAACACGUAUGCAACCUACCUUUAACAGGGGAAUAACCCGUUGAAAAACGGACUAAUACUCCAUAACACAGGGGUCCCGCAUGGGAAUAUUUGUUAAAGAUUAAUCGGUUGAAGAUGGGCAUGCGUUCCAUUAGCUUGUUGGUGAGGUAACGGCUCACCAAGGCCACGAUGGAUAGGGGAACUGAGAGGUUUAUCCCCCACACUGGAACUGAGACACGGUCCAGACUCCUACGGGAGGCAGCAGUGAGGAAUAUUGGUCAAUGGAGGCAACUCUGAACCAGCCAAGUCGCGUGAAGGAUGAAGGUCUUAUGGAUUGUAAACUUCUUUUGCAAGGGAAUAAAGUGGGGGACGUGUCCUCCUUUGCAUGUACCUUGCGAAUAAGGAGCGGCUAACUCCGUGCCAGCCGCCGC